rnacentral:rRNA from 1 species
AGUGAACGCUGGCGGUAGGCCUAACACAUGCAAGUCGAACGGCAGCACAGUAAGAGCUUGCUCUUACGGGUGGCGAGUGGCGGACGGGUGAGGAAUACAUCGGAAUCUACUUUUUCGUGGGGGAUAACGUAGGGAAACUUACGCUAAUACCGCAUACGACCUACGGGUGAAAGCAGGGGAUCUUCGGACCUUGCGCGAUUGAAUGAGCCGAUGUCGGAUUAGCUAGUUGGCGGGGUAAAGGCCCACCAAGGCGACGAUCCGUAGCUGGUCUGAGAGGAUGAUCAGCCACACUGGAACUGAGACACGGUCCAGACUCCUACGGGAGGCAGCAGUGGGGAAUAUUGGACAAUGGGCGCAAGACUGAUCCAGCCAUACCGCGUGGGUGAAGAAGGCCUUCGGGUUGUAAAGCCCUUUUGUUGGGAAAGAAAAGCAGCAGGUGAAUACCCCGCUGUUCUGACAGUACCCAAAGAAUAAGCACCGGCUAACUUCGU